CAUCGUUCCUCCGGCAUAUCGGUUCGCGCAACCGAACAACCGUGAGCGAGUAACCCGAACCGCAGUAACCCCGGCAUCAUGUCCGGAAAACUGAAACAUAAAUUGGGGUAGUGAUUUGUAGGGCGCGGCAACGCGCAUCGAACAUCAUAGACCCC
rnacentral:sRNA from 12 species